ensembl:lncRNA
UACCCUUACUUCAGUGAGUUACUUGCUGUUUCUUUGAAAUGUAUUUGGAUAUAAUUUGUUUUUGUAUGUAAUCUGUAUUUGCAUAAAUGAAACUAUAGCAAAUGCUGAAUGCGAAUAUUAUUUAAGCAACUAUUUAUAUAUAAAUAUGCAGUUUACCUUUCUGGUUUGUGUGUGUCUCAGGUGCUGAGGUUGGUGAUGAUGAUGAAGAAGAUGGUGGUGGGGCAGAUGAUGUGGUUUCUGAUGCUGGUGAGGGUGAAGAUGGUGAAAGUGUUGGUAUGGUUGAUGAAGGUGAAGAUGAGGGUGAUUGAGAAGUUGAAGAUGAGGAUGUUGAAGAAAAUGCUGAGGUUCGGUCCUCUAGUGCCAUCUAGUGACACCAUUUCCACACCAGGAGUAUUAAACAAACACGUGGAAGAAGACCAGGUUCGGUCCUCUAGUGCCAUCUAGUGACACCAUUUUCACACCAGGAGUAUUAAACAAACACGUGGAGGAAGACCAGGUAAUAAUGAUUAACUACUAUUCUCAAUAAUUCUAAUAUAUUUGACUUCAUGUAAUCAGCGAUGUUUCUUGCUGAUGUUUAGCACUCGUAGACUGCAGUCUUCACAUUGCUGUCUUAGUCAUAAAGGGUACCAAGGGGCCCAAAGUGUGCUAAGGAAAUAUCCCCCACACCAUUAAACCACCACCACCAGCCUGAACCGUUGAGACAAGGCAGGAUGGAUCCAUGCUUUCAUGUUCUUUACACCAAAUUCUGACUCUACCAUCUGAAUGUCGCAGCAGAAAUCGAGACUUAUCAGACCAGGCAAUGUUUUCCCAAUCUUCUAUCGUCCAAUUCUGGUGAUCCUGUGCAAAUUGUAGCCUCCGUUUCCUGUUCUUAGCUGACAGGAGUGGCACCCGGUGUGGUCUUCUGCUGCUGUAGCAGAAGACCACACCGGGUUACCAAGCAAUAGAAUAGGUAAUAAAGUGGCUGGUGAGUGUAUAUAUAAUUUUGAA